CGCUGUAAACCUCACCCAAAUAACAGAUUUAAUGUGACAGCUAAUAAGACUGCAGUGCUUGAGAGGUUUCAAUUUGGCCCACUACUGUUUUAUUGCAGAACAAAAUGGAGAGACUGCAAUAAAUUGUGGGAGUCAAACACGGUUGUGUUGACAGAGCAAGUUAGCUACACGUGAAGAUAAGACUGUGCAACCACUACAAAUUCUGAAUUAAAGGCCAGUCUAGCAUUGUGAAGAUGCCAAAGCCAGCAGAAGGAACAGGCGUGGCAAUUAGGAAGAGAUCCAGAGUGCCUGGUGUUAUGGUCACACAAUACGUUGAAGAACUGCCUCCUGGAUCUACUACUCCUGAUUUCAUCCGAAAACCCAUAGCCUUAACUAUACAGGAAGGUAAACUGGCCUUUUUCAAAGCUGUUGUGAGUGGAUAUCCAGUACCAGAUGUUUCAUGGGCACGUAACAAGGGAGAUAUCUCUAAUUCAACAAAAUAUGUUUCAAGAUUUGAUGAGAAGAAUGAACAAUAUAUU